UACGUAGGGACCAAGCGUUGUUCGGAUUUACUGGGCGUAAAGGGCGCGUAGGCGGCCUUCUAAGUCGAACGUGAAAUCCCCGGGCUCAACCCGGGAACUGCGUCCGAUACUGGAAGGCUUGAAUCCGGGAGAGGGAUGCGGAAUUCCAGGUGUAGCGGUGAAAUGCGUAGAUAUCUGGAGGAACACCGGUGGCGAAGGCGGUUCUCUGGGCCUGUAC
rnacentral:rRNA from 1 species